rnacentral:rRNA from 1 species
UACGUAGGGGGCAAGCGUUGUUCGGAAUUACUGGGCGUAAAGGGCUCGUAGGCGGCCAACUAAGUCCGACGUGAAAUCCCCAGGCUUAACCUGGGAACUGCGUCGGAUACUGGAUGGCUUGAAUCCGGGAGAGGGAUGCGGAAUUCCAGGUGUAGCGGUGAAAUGCGUAGAUAUCUGGAGGAACACCGGUGGCGAAGGCGGCAUCCUGGACCGGCAUUGACGCUGAGGAGCGAAAGCCAGGGGAGCAAACGGG